rnacentral:rRNA from 1 species
UACGUAGGCAGCAAGCGUUGUUCGGCGUUACUGGGCGUAAAGAGUGCGUAGGCGGUCCUCUAAGUUUGGUGUGAAAUCUCCCGGCUCAACCGGGGGGGUGCGCCGGAGACUGGGGGGCUUGAGCAUGGGAGAGGUAAGCGGAAUUCCUGGUGUAGCGGUGAAAUGCGUAGAUAUCAGGAGGAACACCUGUGGUGUAGACAGCUUACUGGACCAUUGCUGACGCUGAGGCGCGAAAGCGUGGGUAGCAAACAGG